CGGCCGAAAUGAGACAACAUAGUAAGGCAAUAUAUGAAUAUUAAUUAGCCGAGCGGUGCUGCGGGCAGGGCGGCGGUUGCAACACAGUGGCAGUUGAAGGCAGUAACCCCGCCUUUGCCAGUUAAUACACAGAAAAAGACCUGUAACGGGCAAACGGCGCAGCGGAUCCGGGCAAGGUGUUUGACUAAAGCAUCAUGCGUUCCUGUGAUGACUCCCGCGCCAAUCACAUCUGGUCUCAGCCUCCACAUCCUUCUUAGCUCCAAAGAGUCAUGCCCCUUCAGAUCAUCACAUGACAAGAACAAGUUUACAUCCUUAUAGUUAUAUUUAAUAAAAGUUCCUUUAAGACUACAAACAGAUAUCUUGAAAACCACUGGAAAUUUAUAAACAAGAUAUAUUAGAAAAUGUUUAAUCCUUUUGUUGAUUUAUCAAUAAAGAAGCCAAUG